rnacentral:rRNA from 1 species
GGGUUGUGAGGUUAAGCGACUAAGCGUACACGGUGGAUGCCCGGCAGUCAGAGGCGAUGAAGGACGUGCUAAUCUGCGAAAAGCGUCGGUAAGGUGAUAUGAACCGUUAUAACCGGCGAUGUCCGAAUGGGGAAACCCAGUGCAAUUCGUUGCACUAUCGUUAACUGAAUACAUAGGUUAACGAGGCGAACCGGGGGAACUGAAACAUCUAAGUACCCCGAGGAAAAGAAAUCAACCGAGAUUCCCCCAGUAGCGGCGAGCGAACGGGGAGCAGCCCAGAGUCUGAAUCAGCUUGUGUGUUAGUGGAACGGUCUGGAAAGUCCGACGGUACAGGGUGAUAGUCCCGUACACCAAAAUGCACAGGCUGUGAACUCGAAGAGUAGGGCGGGACACGUGGUAUCCUGUCUGAAUAUGGGGGGACCAUCCUCCAAGGCUAAAUACUCCUGACUGACCGAUAGUGAACCAGUACCGUGAGGGAAAGGCGAAAAGAACCCCGGCGAGGGGAGUGAAAAAGAACCUGAAACCGUGUACGUACAAGCAGUGGGAGCACCUUCGGGUGUGACUGCGUACCUUUUGUAUAAUGGGUCAGCGACUUAUAUUCUGUAGCAAGGUUAACCGUAUAGGGGAGCCGCAGGGAAACCGAGUCUUAACUGGGCGUUAAGUUGCAGGGUAUAGACCCGAAACCCGGUGAUCUAGCCAUGGGCAGGUUGAAGGUUGGGUAACACUAACUGGAGGACCGAACCGACUAAUGUUGAAAAAUUAGCGGAUGACUUGUGGCUGGGGGUGAAAGGCCAAUCAAACCGGGAGAUAGCUGGUUCUCCCCGAAAGCUAUUUAGGUAGCGCCUCGUGAAUUCAUCUUCGGGGGUAGAGCACUGUUUCGGCUAGGGGUCAUCCCGACUUACCAACCCGAUGCAAACUACGAAUACCGAAGAAUGUUAUCACGGGAGACACACGGCGGGUGCUAACGUCCGUCGUGAAGAGGAAACAACCCAGACCGCCAGCUAAGGUCCCAAAGUCAUGGUUAAGUGGGAAACGAUGUGGGAAGGCACAGACAGGGAUGUUGGCUUAGAAGCAGCCAUCAUUUAAAGAAAGCGUAAUAGCUCACUGGUCGAGUCGGCCUGCGCGGAAGAUGUAACGGGGCUAAACCAUGCACCGAAGCUGCGGCAGCGACACUAUGUGUUGUUGGGUAGGGAGCGUUCUGUAAGCCUGCGAAGGUGUGCUGUGAGGCAUGCUGGAGGUAUCAGAAGUGCGAAUGCUGACAUAAGUAACGAUAAAGCGGGUGAAAAGCCCGCUCGCCGGAAGACCAAGGGUUCCUGUCCAACGUUAAUCGGGGCAGGGUGAGUCGACCCUAAGGCGAGGCCGAAAGGCGUAGUCGAUGGGAAACAGGUUAAUAUUCCUGUACUUGGUGUUACUGCGAAGGGGACGGAGAAGGCUAUGUUAGCCGGGCGACGGUUGUCCCGGUUUAAGCAUGUAGGCUGGUUGUCGGGCAAAUCCGGAUAAUCAAGGCUGAGGUGUGAUGACGAGGCACUACGGUGCUGAAGUAACAAAUGCCCUGCUUCCGGAAAAGCCUCUAAGCAUCAGGUAACAUUAAAUCGUACCCCAAACCGACACAGGUGGUCAGGUAGAGAAUACCAAGGCGCUUGAGAGAACUCGGGUGAAGGAACUAGGCAAAAUGGUGCCGUAACUUCGGGAGAAGGCACGCUGGUGUGUAGGUGAAGUCCCUGCGGAUGGAGCUGAGACCAGUCGAAGAUACCAGCUGGCUGCAACUGUUUAUUAAAACACAGCACUGUGCAAACACGAAAGUGGACGUAUACGGUGUGACGCCUGCCCGGUGCCGGAAGGUUAAUUGAUGGGGUUAUCCGUAAGGAGAAGCUCUUGAUCGAAGCCCCGGUAAACGGCGGCCGUAACUAUAACGGUCCUAAGGUAGCGAAAUUCCUUGUCGGGUAAGUUCCGACCUGCACGAAUGGCGUAAUGAUGGCGGGCUGUCUCCACCCGAGACUCAGUGAAAUUGAACUCGCUGUGAAGAUGCAGUGUACCCGCGGCAAGACGGAAAGACCCCGUGAACCUUUACUAUAGCUUGACACUGAACAUUGAGCCUUGAUGUGUAGGAUAGGUGGGAGGCUUUGAAGCGUGGACGCCAGUCUGCGUGGAGCCAACCUUGAAAUACCACCCUUUAAUGUUUGAUGUUCUAACGUUGGCCCCUGACCGGGGUUGCGGACAGUGUCUGGUGGGUAGUUUGACUGGGGCGGUCUCCUCCCAAAGCGUAACGGAGGAGCACGAAGGUUAGCUAAUCCUGGUCGGACAUCAGGAGGUUAGUGCAAUGGCAUAAGCUAGCUUGACUGCGAGCGUGACGGCGCGAGCAGGUGCGAAAGCAGGUCAUAGUGAUCCGGUGGUUCUGAAUGGAAGGGCCAUCGCUCAACGGAUAAAAGGUACUCCGGGGAUAACAGGCUGAUACCGCCCAAGAGUUCAUAUCGACGGCGGUGUUUGGCACCUCGAUGUCGGCUCAUCACAUCCUGGGGCUGAAGUAGGUCCCAAGGGUAUGGCUGUUCGCCAUUUAAAGUGGUACGCGAGCUGGGUUUAGAACGUCGUGAGACAGUUCGGUCCCUAUCUGCCGUGGGCGCUGGAGAAUUGAGGGGCUGCUCCUAGUACGAGAGGACCGGAGUGGACGCAUCACUGGUGUUCGGGUUGUCAUGCCAAUGGCACUGCCCGGUAGCUAAAUGCGGAAGAGAUAAGUGCUGAAAGCAUCUAAGCACGAAACUUGCCCCGAGAUGAGUUCUCCCUGAGACUUUAAGUCUCCUGAAGGAACGUUAAAGACGAUGACGUUGAUAGGCCGGGUGUGUAAGCGCAGCGAUGCGUUGAGCUAACCGGUACUAAUGAACCGUGAGGCUUAACCUUACAACGCCGAAG